rnacentral:lncRNA from 1 species
GUUCUGGCUCUCUUGUAAUUUGCAGCUAUUGAGAAUAUUUAUCACCACAGGAAAUAUCCAAGCAGCACCAGAAUGACUUUUAGACUGAGCUCAUAAGGGUGGCUCUUUGUUCUCAUCAAUGGAGAAAACAACCUGAUUAAGAAUCAAUAGCAGAUUGGCAGACUCAGAUAUCUAAUGCAAGCUGUUGACUGGCCCACAAAUCAAAGGAGAAUAUUCUGAAAGGACAGAGAAAAGCUGUAAGUAACAAGGGAUGCUUUCAUCACUUUCAGCAUGUGAAGAA